AAAAACCGUGAGAGAGAACUUAAUUAAGUGCUGGCGCACUGUGUAGUGAUGUGUCGUUCGUGAAGGAAUCGUUCAUUUUGAACGAAUCUUUAAUAUGAUUCGGGAACAACGAGUUGUCUCAGAGGGUGAUGCGUUCAUUUUUGAACGCGCAUGCGCAGCAACAUCCCCAUAGGUUCUGUACCGGAAACAGAAAUGAUUAGUUCACCUCUGGAGUCUUUGGUUCGAGUCGUUCGUUCAUCACUUCACAGCCCCACUGCAUUCAGAAUAUGGGGCAGUCACGUGAUGAACGAAUGCCUCGAGCCUGAAGACUUGAGACGUGAACUGAUCAAAUGUGACGUGACCAAAGAAGUACGACUCGGAUCGGGAGGUGAACUAACAGACUGCUAAUGCUAAGCAAUUAAUCAAUCAUUUCUGUUUCUCAUAAUUCGGCCUCGGUUGCAUUAGCCUAUAGUUUAUUUUUUAUUCCAAAUGUGAUCAACGUUUGCCUUUGCUUACAAUAUCAAUUCUUUUAUGAGGGUCUUGACAAACACGCCUCAAAGCUGCUGUAUUUGUACCGCCCGAGGCGCCAUGCAGACAUCGCAGAAAGGAGUGCCAUACUGGAGAGCCUGGAUAAAAAUGCAUCAAAUCACAGGAAGAGGGUUGCAGUACUGCUGGGGCUGCCACUGUCCAUGCGGGAGAAUCCAUCUCAGUUCUUACAGAUCUGUGAGGUAAGUGUCUGUGAGGAAAGUAAGAUGUUGGAAGAUAUUCAGAUAAUGGAAGUCCAUGUAUUGAUAUUUCCAACUAUUUUGAUGGAGUUUACCUCAUUUUAUUUUCAUGAGAGAUGAUAAAUUUCAGGACGUUGUACUGUGUUUUUUUUCCACCUUCUAAAAUUAAUUCAUUUUGUGUGAUGACUAGUAAAGUUAAGAUCGGUUCACUCAUGCUGUUCUUAAGUCGCUGCGCUUGUGAGGGUGUGUGUGUGAAAGCACAUUUUAAAGUUUGUCUUUGUUUUUAAUACAGCACACAGAUUCUGAAGAAGAGUUAAUCAAGGGCGUGACUGUUGGAAUCAGUACAGUUGUGGAUGACGUGAUGGACCCUAUUCCGUGUGACUGCAGUGAUGUAGCCCUUGUAAUGGAAGAAGUUGUCGUUCUACGCAAUCUUGGUGAUGUACCAAAUGCAUUUGUCAACUUGAUGGGAUUGCUUUCUGCACGUAACAUAAACUACCCCAAAACUUCACAUACACCUUUGAGGUGAUUCAGAGGCUGUUCAUGAACAUCGGAGCUGAUGCCUGCAGUGCAUGAGUACAUUCACUUAAAAAUAAUCUGCUCAAGUAGAGACGGUGUUAUGCAUUUCUUGUAAGAGAGAUUUCAUGUGUUGUUGUGUUGUGUAUGUUACAGUUUCUAUACCUAAACAGCAUGACUUCAAUUUUGUUGUGUAUUUUCACCUUUAAACACUGGGCAAUUGAAAUGUAAUGUUGUUAGGCAAAAACAGAUUUCUGCUUGCUUUUUCUGUUUAUUUUGAGAAAUUCAUGUAAUUUCAAGACACAUGCAGCUUUUAUGUGAGAGUUUGCUGACUUCCUGUCAGUGUUGAGAAUGAAGUUUGACAGAAUUCUAAUUGUGGGUGACUUUAACAUCCAUGUGGACCGGAGUGACUCUGUGGCGGUUAAGGAAUUCCUGUCGCUACUUGAUUGUUUUAGCUUCACUCGGUUUGUAACUGACCCGACUCAUAACAAGGGACAUACGCUGGAUCUCGUGAUUGCAAACGGCUCGUUUGUAUCUGUUUUCAUCUGUUGACAUUGGACUGUCUGAUCAUUCAGCUGUCUUUUUUAAUCUGGAACUGUAUCAUCCAUGUGAGCCUACCGUCUGAACAGUACCCUUCCAGAAGUGGAAAUCUAUGGAUCGGACAGUUUUCUCCGAUUCGGUUGUUUCCACUUUAAGCGAUCUUCAUCCCUCAUCGCUGGAGGAGAAAGUCCUGCAGUUAAAUUCUGCUCUUGCUGCUAAUCUUGACUCUUUUGCUCCUCUAAGGUCACGUAAGGUCACAUUCUCCCGCUCUGCUCCUUGGUAUAAUGACAAUCUGCGCUCUAGAAAGGCUGCUUGUGGGAAAAUGGAGCGCAAACGGCACCUUACUGGACUAUAUGUCUAUCAAGCGUGGAAGGAUCUUCUGGGUGAUUAUCGAGCACUAAUGGAGACUGAAAGAUCCUCUUACUUCUCUCAGACUAUUGUAAAAAAUCAAAAUAAUCCCAGACACUUGUUCCAAACCAUAAACAGACUGCUUCAAGUUAAUGCUGUUACCACCUUGCCCGUUUCUCAGCAGGUCUGUGAUUCUUUUCUUCAGUUUUUUCAUUCUAAGAGUGAUAAUGUUCGCACAGAAAUUCCUGUCACACCUGACUCUGCCUCUUCACUCCUUCGUCCAUCUGGGUUCACUGGUGUUUCUUUCACUCAUUUCUCACUGCUUGAUUCUGAGGCUCUCACAAGGGAGGAAUCCAGCAUGAAAUCAACCACUUGCUUGCUGGAUCCAAUUCCCACAAACCUAUUUAAAUCGUGCUUCGAUGUUUGGUGCCCUGCUAUCCUCAGCAUUAUAAAUGAAUCACUGGAGACUGGGGUCGUUCCAACAGUACUAAAGACUGCUGCUGUUACACCUGUACCAAAGAAAGAAAAUGUUUCCGUGGAUGAUUUUAACAAUUUUCGUCCCAUUUCAAAUCUUCCGUUUUUGGCUAAAAUACUUGAGCGUGUUGUUGCCUCUCAACUAUGUAAUCAUCUUACAAUUAAUUACCUCCUUGAACCCCUUCAGUGAGGUUUUUACUAAUCUGCUUUAUUAAUCCCUUACACCCCAAAUCGCAGACUGCGCUCCUCACAGUGUAAUUUGUUAACUGUUCCACAACCCGCCUAAAAUCUACAGGUGACGGGACUUCUUCUGUCUACGCUCCUUCCCUUUGGAACUCUCUUCCUCCUGAACUCAGGGAAGCUCAGACCUUUGACAUUUUUAAAGCUCUACUUAAGACACUUUUUUUAAACUUGCAUUUGACUGCUGAUGUCUUUUUAUUUAUUUAUUUAUUUAUUUAUUAUUAUUAUUUUAUAAUUAUUAUUAUUAAUGUUCGUAUUAACUUGAUUUAUUUUUUGUACUGCUUAUUUUGUGUACAGCGCAUUGAGAAGCUGCUUUUAAAGGCGCUUUAUAAAAUAAAGAUUAUUAUUACUUAU